GUUAGAGUUUGAUUCUGGCUCAGGACGAACGCUGGCGGCGUGCCUAAUACAUGCAAGUCGUACGCUUCUUUUUCCACCGGAGCUUGCUCCACCGGAAAAAGAAGAGUGGCGAACGGGUGAGUAACACGUGGGUAACCUGCCCAUCAGAAGGGGAUAACACUUGGAAACAGGUGCUAAUACCGUAUAACAAUCGAAACCGCAUGGUUCUGAUUUGAAAGGCGCUUUCGGGUGUCGCUGAUGGAUGGACCCGCGGUGCAUUAGCUAGUUGGUGAGGUAACGGCUCACCAAGGCCACGAUGCAUAGCCGACCUGAGAGGGUGAUCGGCCACAUUGGGACUGAGACACGGCCCAAACUCCUACGGGAGGCAGCAGUAGGGAAUCUUCGGCAAUGGACGAAAGUCUGACCGAGCAACGCCGCGUGAGUGAAGAAGGUUUUCGGAUCGUAAAACUCUGUUGUUAGAGAAGAACAAGGAUGAGAGUAACUGUUCAUCCCUUGACGGUAUCUAACCAGAAAGCCACGGCUAACUACGUGCCAGCAGCCGCGGUAAUACGUAGGUGGCAAGCGUUGUCCGGAUUUAUUGGGCGUAAAGCGAGCGCAGGCGGUUUCUUAAGUCUGAUGUGAAAGCCCCCGGCUCAACCGGGGAGGGUCAUUGGAAACUGGGAGACUUGAGUGCAGAAGAGGAGAGUGGAAUUCCAUGUGUAGCGGUGAAAUGCGUAGAUAUAUGGAGGAACACCAGUGGCGAAGGCGGCUCUCUGGUCUGUAACUGACGCUGAGGCUCGAAAGCGUGGGGAGCAAACAGGAUUAGAUACCCUGGUAGUCCACGCCGUAAACGAUGAGUGCCUAAGUGUUGGAGGGUUUCCGCCCUUUCAGUGCUGCAGCUAACGCAUUAAGGAU
rnacentral:rRNA from 1 species